GAUGAACGCUGGCGGCGUGCUCAACACAUGCAAGUCGAACGAACCUUCGGGUGAGUGGCGGACGGGUGAGUAACGCGUGGGAAUCUGCCCUCAGGAGGGGGAUAACGGCUGGAAACGGCCGCUAAUACCCCAUAUGCCGAGAGGUGAAAUGAAUUUCGCCUGAGGAUGAGCCCGCGUCUGAUUAGCUAGUUGGUGAGGUAAGAGCUCACCAAGGCAUCGAUCAGUAGCUGGUCUGAGAGGAUGAUCAGCCACACUGGGACUGAGACACGGCCCAGACUCCUACGGGAGGCAGCAGUGGGGAAUUUUCCGCAAUGGGCGAAAGCCUGACGGAGCAACGCCGCGUGAGGGAUGAAGGCCUCUGGGCUGUAAACCUCUUUUCUCAAGGAAGAAGAUCUGACGGUACUUGAGGAAUAAGCCACGGCUAAUUCCGUGCCAGCAGCCGCGGUAAUACGGGAGUGGCAAGCGUUAUCCGGAAUUAUUGGGCGUAAAGCGUCCGCAGGCGGCCCUUCAAGUCUGCUGUUAAAACGUGGAGCUUAACUCCAUCAUGGCAGUGGAAACUGUUGGGCUUGAGUGUGGUAGGGGCAGAGGGAAUUCCCGGUGUAGCGGUGAAAUGCGUAGAUAUCGGGAAGAACACCAGUGGCGAAGGCGCUCUGCUGGGCCAUAACUGACGCUCAUGGACGAAAGCCAGGGGAGCGAAAGGGAUUAGAUACCCCUGUAGUCCUGGCCGUAAACGAUGAACACUAGGUGUCGGGGGAAUCGACCCCCUCGGUGUCGUAGCCAACGCGUUAAGUGUUCCGCCUGGGGAGUACGCACGCAAGUGUGAAACUCAAAGGAAUUGACGGGGGCCCGCACAAGCGGUGGAGUAAUGUGGUUUAAUUCGAUGCAACGCGAAGAACCUUACCAGGGUUUGACAUCCUGCGAACCUCUUGGAAACGAGAGGG
rnacentral:rRNA from 1 species